AGCGAACGCUGGCGGCAGGCUUAACACAUGCAAGUCGAGCGGGCACUUCGGUGUCAGCGGCAGACGGGUGAGUAACACGUGGGAACGUACCCUUCGGUUCGGAAUAACGCUGGGAAACUAGCGCUAAUACCGGAUACGCCCUUUUGGGGAAAGGUUUACUGCCGAAGGAUCGGCCCGCGUCUGAUUAGCUAGUUGGUGGGGUAAUGGCCUACCAAGGCGACGAUCAGUAGCUGGUCUGAGAGGAUGAUCAGCCACACUGGGACUGAGACACGGCCCAGACUCCUACGGGAGGCAGCAGUGGGGAAUAUUGGACAAUGGGCGCAAGCCUGAUCCAGCCAUGCCGCGUGAGUGAUGAAGGCCUUAGGGUUGUAAAGCUCUUUUGUCCGGGACGAUAAUGACGGUACCGGAAGAAUAAGCCCGGGCUAACUUCGUG
rnacentral:rRNA from 1 species